CUCUCUCCCUCUCUCUUCAAAUACCCCAUCUCUCUUCGCCCUCGGUAGAUACUUCAAGAAUCAAUAGCGCAAUUUCUUCUCAUUGGUCUUGCCUUUAGUUUCUCAAGAACGAUUAUCCUUAACAUUGAAAUGGACAGAUAUCUCACCAAGCCGAAAAAUGGUGAGCCAAGUUCUAGUACUACUCGGUCAUCCGUGAGUUCACAAAUAGCUCCGAAAGUUCAAAAGAUGACAAAUCCUUCACUGCUUUCAAAUAGUGCACCCAUAAUCUUAAAAUCCUGGAUACGCCUCUGUUUGGCAUAGCUCACCUAGGUAUUACUAAUGCAUUUACUAUGUUUGGAAUGUAUUAAAUUUUUCAACAUCUCAAAUUCUGUUUUGAUGUUCUAUUUUCUUUUGCUUUUAUGGCCACGCUUAAAUCACCAGUGAUUUAAAUUGA